rnacentral:rRNA from 1 species
GAGAUCGGGAUAACACCUGGAAACAGAUGCUAAUACCGGAUAACAAUAGAUGAUGCCUAUCAACUGUUUAAAAGAUGGUUCUGCUAUCACUCUUGGAUGGACCUGCGGUGCAUUAGCUAGUUGGUAGGGUAACGGCCUACCAAGGCGAUGAUGCAUAGCCGAGUUGAGAGACUGAUCGGCCACAUUGGGACUGAGACACGGCCCAAACUCCUACGGGAGGCAGCAGAC